rnacentral:ncRNA from 1 species
CUAACAUGUGCGCGAGUCAAUGGGUCUUGAUAAGGCCCAGAGGCGCAAUGAAAGCAAAGGGCGGCAGAACGCCGUCUGAGUUGGGAUCCUGGGGCUUCCGCGUCCAAGGAGCACCAACGACCCGUCCUGUCAGAUUUACCUCGGUUGGGCGGAGUAUAAGCGUACACGUUGGGACCCGAAAGAUGGUGAACUAUGCCCGGGCAGGACGAGGCCAGAGGAAACUCUGGUGGAGGUCCGUAGCGGUUCUGACGUGCAAACCGGUUAGAAAGAAUGAAGGAGAAACUAUUUUUAAGUAAA